CCUACGGGAGGCAGCAGUGAGGAAUAUUGGUCAAUGGACGAGAGUCUGAACCAGCCAAGUAGCGUGAAGGAUGACUGCCCUAUGGGUUGUAAACUUCAUUUAUAAAGGAAUAAAACGAGGCACGUGUGCCUUUUUGCAUGUACUUUAUGAAUAAGGAUCGGCUAACUCCGUGCCAGCAGCCGCGGUAAUACGGAGGAUCCGAGCGUUAUCCGGAUUUAUUGGGUUUAAAGGGAGCGUAGAUGGGUUGUUAAGUCAGUUGUGAAAGUUUGCGGCUCAACCCUAAAAUUGCAAUUGAUACUGGCAGUCUAGAGUACAGUUGAGGUAGGCGGAAUUCGUGGUGUAGCGGUGAAAUGCUUAGAUAUCACGAAGAACCCCGAUUGCGAAGGCAGCUUACUAAACUGUGACUGACAUUGAUGCUCGAAAGUGUGGGUAUCAAACAGGAUUAGAUACCCCAGUAGUC
rnacentral:rRNA from 1 species